rnacentral:lncRNA from 1 species
GUUUCUCCAUGUUUCUUCCUUUCUUCGUUUAUAGCAGCAACUAAUUCCUCGGCGGUGUCUGCCAUCUUCUUCAGCGAUAUUAGGGUUUCUCCAUUUUUCUUCCUUUCUUCGUUUAUAGCAGCAACUAGUUCCUCCGAUCUGCUUCUUUUGACGCAGCUUCUUUCUGAUUCUGGCUGCGGCGAUGUUACGGUGGUUUUUAUUGU